AUGACACCCAAGUUUUUCUUGGCAGAAGUUAUCAUUCCUGGCAAACAGUUCACUGCGGCUCUAAUUAUGAUGACAGCUUUAAUGGAGAAGAUAAUCAUAUUAAAUGGUUCUUAUUCCAUUCCGUGGGAUGAAUUAGUGACUGCCAUGAGAUGUGUUCAACAGCCAAAAGUAAAGAGAAAGGGAGAUGUGCUGUUCCUGAGAAGAUAUUGUCCCCACUGGAGUUGAAGGAGAUGAAGAGGGUUCCAUGUCAGAGGCUCACUACUGACUCAAGUACUCAGUCAAGUUAUCUUAAAAUCAAGCCACUUGGAGACGCUGGGCCAGGAGAUACAACGCCUCAUAGAAAAGACUGUGCG
rnacentral:lncRNA from 1 species